AGUGAACGCUGGCGGUAGGCCUAACACAUGCCGGUCGAACGGCAGCACAGUAAGAGCUUGCUCUUACGGGUGGCGAGUGGCGGACGGGUGAGGAAUACAUCGGAAUCUACUUUUUCGUGGGGGAUAACGUAGGGAAACUUACGCUAAUACCGCAUACGACCUACGGGUGAAAGCAGGGGAUCUUCGGACCUUGCGCGAUUGAAUGAGCCGAUGUCGGAUUAGCUAGUUGGCGGGGUAAAGGCCCACCAAGGCGACGAUCCGUAGCUGGUCUGAGAGGAUGAUCAGCCACACUGGAACUGAGACACGGUCCAGACUCCUACGGGAGGCAGCAGUGGGGAAUAUUGGACAAUGGGCGCAAGCCUGAUCCAGCCAUACCGCGUGGGUGAAGAAGGCCUUCGGGUUGUAAAGCCCUUUUGUUGGGAAAGAAAAGCAGCAGGUUAAUACCCCGCUGUUCUGACGGUACCCAAAGAAUAAGCACCGGCUAACUCCGUG
rnacentral:rRNA from 1 species